GGUCACACCCUAACACUUCCCCUGUGGGCUAAUCACCAUCAAGAUGGAUGGACACUUGCGUGGGCAGCCUGGAGCUGUCUGGCACAUCCCAAACUCUGGGCACUUCAGGACCUGCAAGUGGAAUUUCUGAAAUGUGUCUUUGA
rnacentral:lncRNA from 1 species